rnacentral:rRNA from 1 species
AGUGAACGCUGGCGGUAGGCCUAACACAUGCAAGUCGAACGGCAGCACAGUAAGAGCUUGCUCUUACGGGUGGCGAGUGGCGGACGGGUGAGGAAUACAUCGGAAUCUACUUUUUCGUGGGGGAUAACGUAGGGAAACUUACGCUAAUACCGCAUACGACCUACGGGUGAAAGCAGGGGAUCUUCGGACCUUGCGCGAUUGAAUGAGCCGAUGUCGGAUUAGCUAGUUGGCGGGGUAAAGGCCCACCAAGGCGACGAUCCGUAGCUGGUCUGAGAGGAUGAUCAGCCACACUGGAACUGAGACACGGUCCAGACUCCUACGGGAGGCAGCAGUGGGGAAUAUUGGACAAUGGGCGCAAGCCUGAUCCAGCCAUACCGCGUGGGUGAAGAAGGCCUUCGGGUUGUAAAGCCCUUUUGUUGGGAAAGAAAAGCAGCAGGUUAAUACCCCGCUGUUCUGACGGUACCCAAAGAAUAAGCACCGGCUCACUUCGUG